GAUAAACGCUGGCGGCGUGCCUAAUACAUGCAAGUCGAGCGAACAGAUGAGGAGCUUGCUCCUCCGACGUUAGCGGCGGAUGGGUGAGUAACACGUGGGCAACCUGCCCUGCAGAUGGGGAUAACUCCGGGAAACCGGGGCUAAUACCGAAUGAUCAGUUUGUUCGCAUGAACAAACUCUAACAGACGGUUUCGGCUGUCACUGCAGGAUGGGCCCGCGGCGCAUUAGCUAGUUGGUGAGGUAACGGCUUACCAAGGCGACGAUGCGUAGCCGACCUGGGGGGGUGAUCGGCCACACUGGGACUGAGACACGGCCCAGACUCCUACGGGAGGCAGCAGUAGGGAAUCUUCCACAAUGGACGAAAGUCUGAUGGAGCAACGCCGCGUGAGCGAAGAAGGUUUUCGGAUCGUAAAGCUCUGUUGUGAGGGAAGAACAAGUAUAGGAGUAACUGCCUGUACCUUGACGGUACCUCAUUAGAAAGCCACGGCUAACUACGUGCCAGCCGCCGCCGUAAAAC
rnacentral:rRNA from 1 species